rnacentral:rRNA from 1 species
UACGGGGGGGGCAAGCGUUGUCCGGAAUUAUUGGGCGUAAAGAGCUCGUAGGCGGUUUGUCGCGUCUGCUGUGAAAACCUAAGGCUCAACCUUGGGCUUGCAGUGGGUACGGGCAGACUAGAGUGCGGUAGGGGUGACUGGAAUUCCUGGUGUAGCGGUGGAAUGCGUAGAGAUCGGGAAGAACAUCGGUGGCGAAGGCGGCCUGCUGGGCUGUUGCUGACGCUGAGGCGCGACAGCGUGGGGAGCAAACAGG